rnacentral:pre_miRNA from 1 species
UGUUAAAAUUAUUAUUUAUUUGUACGGUUAAAAACGGGUGUGCUUGACAAGAUAAUCAGACAAUUACACGUGGUGUACCAUGUAUACAUCAUAUUGAUAUACAAAGAUUAGUUAUUUUUAACUAUAGAAAUAGAUGGAACUUUUAAGA